rnacentral:lncRNA from 1 species
UGGGUUUUCUCUGUGCUCGAGGACCUUAGACUGGUCCCAUAUGGCCUGUUGCUAUGCUACUGGACCUAGGCCUGGACCUGGACAUGUUCUGUAGGUAGUGCGUCUUGUGGCUGACUAGAAGAGGUCUCGUGUGGGUCAGCCCGUUGGAUGACUGCAUCAUCAGCUCUAGGGAUCAUCUUCUUCCUCUUGGGAGGCCUUUGUGGCUACUCCGCCUCUGGAUGAAUUCCUGGUACUGGGCCCUGGAGAAAUAAAUCUAUUGGUAGGCGAUUCACCUUCAGUUUUUCUACAUCUGCUCUCAGCUCCUUCACAGACUCUUUGGAGGCACGUGUCUUCCUUAGCUUCUUGUGCUCCUGAGAAAUCUCCUUGAGAGCCUUGCUAUGUGAAGCAAUUGCCUUGGAGAGCACUGCCUGAGUGUCGAGGAUCUUCUUCUGGUUGUCAAGUAUCUCUAUGAGAACAUCCUCUAUUGACUAUGAAAGCUAUGAAGCUUAAGGUGCCAACUAAGGCUCUAACACAGUGGUGAGAAUAGACAACUUAGAUGAGGCAGUCUGCAUCCAGUUGUUUAUGCUAACAAGCGCUUAGCUCUGUCAGUGAGCAGUAAUAGGAUGGGCUCAAAAU